rnacentral:misc_RNA from 1 species
AAACAAGAAGGUGAUGUGCUAGCAAGAAUUUGAUACUGAUGAAAUGGAGGGGCCAAAUCAAUUAGAUCAAGUCUUCUUUCUCUUUGUGCAAGUAUCAUUCUAAUAAGCAAUUGUUUAGGAUGAUCUCCAUUUCUGCAAGAAGGAAGCAUGACCUUUGUUUCUUAGGGAUGAUUGCUUUCUUCUCAGGAUACAUAGUAGGAUUUGAUAUGUUGUCAAGUUUGGUUAUGUUUGUUUUUCAAGCUUGAAGUUUCAUGGAGG